rnacentral:rRNA from 1 species
AUUGAACGCUGGCGGCAGGCCUAACACAUGCAAGUCGAACGGCAGCACAGAAGAGCUUGCUCUUUGGGUGGCGAGUGGCGGACGGGUGAGUAAUGUCUGGGAAACUGCCCGAUGGAGGGGGAUAACUACUGGAAACGGUAGCUAAUACCGCAUAACGUCGCGAGACCAAAGUGGGGGACCUUCGGGCCUCACACCAUCGGAUGUGCCCAGAUGGGAUUAGCUAGUAGGUGGGGUAAUGGCUCACCUAGGCGACGAUCCCUAGCUGGUCUGAGAGGAUGACCAGCCACACUGGAACUGAGACACGGUCCAGACUCCUACGGGAGGCAGCAGUGGGGAAUAUUGCACAAUGGGCGCAAGCCUGAUGCAGCCAUGCCGCGUGUAUGAAGAAGGCCUUCGGGUUGUAAAGUACUUUCAGCGGGGAGGAAGGCGGUGAGGUUAAUAACCUCGCCGAUUGACGUUACCCGCAGAAGAAGCACCGGCUAACUCCGUGCCAGCCGCCGCGGUAA